rnacentral:rRNA from 1 species
UACCAGCACCCCGAGUGGUCGGGACGUUUAUUGGGCCUAAAGCAUCCGUAGCCGGUUCUACAAGUCUUCCGUUAAAUCCGCCUGCUCAACAGAUGGGCUGCGGAAGAUACUAUGGAGCUAGGAGGCGGGAGAGGCAAGCGGUACUCGAUGGGUAGGGGUAAAAUCCGUUGAUCCAUUGAAGACCACCAGUGGCGAAGGCGGCUUGCCAGAACGCGCUCGACGGUGAGGGAUGAAAGCUGGGGGAGCAAACCGG